UGGUGAGUAACACGUGGGUGAUCUGCCCUGCACUUCGGGAUAAGCUUGGGAAACUGGGUCUAAUACCGGAUAGGACCAUCGUUUAGUGUCGGUGGUGGAAAGUUUUUUCGGUGUUGGAUGAGCUCGCGGCCUAUCAGCUUGUUGGUGGGGUAAUGGCCUACCAAGGCGUCGACGGGUAGCCGGCCUGAGAGGGUGUACGGCCACAUUGGGACUGAGAUACGGCCCAG
rnacentral:rRNA from 1 species